UACGAAGGUGGCAAGCGUUGUUCGGAUUUACUGGGCAUACAGGGAGCGUAGGCGGUUAGGUAAGCCCUCCGUGAAAUCUCCGAGCCUAACCCAGAAAGUGCGGAGGAGACUGCUCGGCUAGAGGAUAGGAGAAGAGCGCGGAAUUCCCGGUGUAGCGGUGAAAUGCGUAGAGAUCGGGAGGAAGGCCGGUGGCGAAGGCGGCGCUCUGGAACAUUUCUGACGCUGAGGCUCGAAAGCGUAGAAAGCAAAC
rnacentral:rRNA from 1 species